GCCAGGUGUGGUGGUGGGUGCUUGUAGUCUCAGCUACUCUGGAGGCUGAGGCAGGAGGAUUGCUUGAGCGCAGGAGGUCGAGGCUGCAGUGAGCUGUGACCAUGCCACUGUACCCUAGCCUGGGCAAUAGAGCAAGAUCCUGUCUCUA
rnacentral:SRP_RNA from 1 species